AUUGUGGUGUGUAUUUGGUUUAUGCUGAAAUUAUUGCGGGCAGUUUGAUCAUUUUGCAUAAAAGUACAUCUGGGAAUUAUGCAAUAAUCUCUACGGGUAAUAUUUAUAACCAUAGGCGCCUAAGUUUUGAUAAUCCAAGUUAGGCAAACUCAUUGUUACAAAUAUUAAUUACUUAUUAUAUGUAUACGUAAGCUAAUAAGGUAACUACUGCACUCGCACAUUACGCACUGCACGUUAAUCGUUUACGCCACAGUAGCGCUUGUGACGUAUUAAAAGAUCGUCAAACUUGUAGGUGCAGGCUUGCGCAAUAUCCUACGAUCUUUGUUUCUAUCACAAUGACGAUUGUAAAGUAAUGCAACAUCAUAUGUUAGGAUUAUGCAAUACGAAAGUCACGAUAAUGGAUUACAUCACAA